rnacentral:rRNA from 1 species
GACGAACGCUGGCGGCGUGCUUAACACAUGCAAGUCGAACGGAAAGGCCCUGCUUGCCGGGUACUCGAGUGGCGAACGGGUGAGUAACACGUGGGUGAUCUGCCCUGCACUUCGGGAUAAGCUUGGGAAACUGGGUCUAAUACCGGAUAGGACCGCACUUUAGUGUGUGUGGUGGAAAGUUUUUUCGGUGUAGGAUGAGCUCGCGGCCUAUCAGCUUGUUGGUGGGGUAAUGGCCUACCAAGGCGGCGACGGGUAGCCGGCCUGAGAGGGUGUACGGCCACAUUGGGACUGAGAUACGGCCCAGACUCCUACGGGAGGCAGCAGUGGGGAAUAUUGCACAAUGGGCGCAAGCCUGAUGCAGCGACGCCGCGUGGGGGAUGAAGGCCUUCGGGUUGUAAACUCCUUUCGCUAGGGACGAAGCUUUUUGUGACGGUACCUAGAUAAGAAGCACCGGCUAACUACGU